rnacentral:misc_RNA from 1 species
GAGGAAGAAGAUGUCGAGGGCACAUGAUGGGAUCUUGAAGUAUAUGUUGAAGAUUAUGGAAGUUUGUAAUGCUCAAGGUUUUGUAUAUGGAAUAAUUCCUGAGAAGGGAAAACCUGUAACUGGUGCAUCAGAUAAUCUGCGAGAAUGGUGGAAAGACAAGGUCAGAUUUGAUAGAAACGGACCGGCUGCCAUAGCCAAGUACCAGGCAGACAAUGCAAUUCCCGGACGAAACGAUGGGUGUAAUUCAAUUGGUCCAACCCCGCACACCUUGCAGGAACUUCAGGAUACCACCCUAGGAUCUCUUUUAUCAGCUCUGAUGCAGCACUGUGACCCUCCU